GUUCUCAUUUGCUGAUAAUAAAACUUUUUUUUUUUUUUAAAUUGGAAAUAUAAAAUAGAAAAAACAGGAAUUUUGCAGCAUGGAGGAUUUAUCGAAUGUGGACCUGUCAGAAAAUGUAAGUGUGGGGAGGUAGAACUAUGCACUGUUUGGCUGAGGUGUUGCGGGGUUAAAGGAACAUGCUAGACAUAUAAAGAACUUUAUGCAUACCUCCAAACUCCCGCAUUCUGGGAAUUUGGAUGGCUGAGGGGGUGGAGGGGGGCAAGACCAGUGAUGCGCUCAUGUGACUAACUCUGCCACCAAGUGGUGGACAUGCCUAGAAAGGGGGCAGGACUGCCCGAAUUAAUGGCAGGUCAGCCUGGCAUUAAUGCACAAGCUGUCUGUCCAUCAUGUAAGCCAGCCCACUGAAUGCAAGACAUGUGGGGAGCACACAUGUGGGGAGCUGAUGCUAUCUUUGUUGGGUCAGUUCCCUGGUGACCCCAAAAGCAGGACACCUGUGUAAGAAAUUAUGACCUUCUUACAAGGAUAUUCUUUUAGGGAAUGUGUGACAAAUAAGACACAAACACAAGUGUAUAAUAAAAUGUAUUGUUAAUAUUGAUUUAGGAUGCUGUUACAGAUUUUAGGAUAUACACAUUACGCAUUAUAACCAUAUCCAGUACAUAAUCAAAAGAUACAUAGUAAAGGGGCAAUACUUAGACAUUUAAAUGAAGAUCUUCCCCUUGCGCCUUCAUCUUUGGUAGUCUGGGACAGUCUCUCUCAGUUCACCAUGGCAUUCACCAUGGCAUCACUGCUUGCUGGACUGUCUUCUCCAAAAGAGACAAAGAGAGAGGCGGCGCCGAACCUCCUGGGCUGUUCUUUUAAAGACUGAUUCUUGCAGUCAUUAACUACAAGUCCCAGGAUCCCUUUUACCUCCCAAAAAGUGGUUCAUCAAACCCUUUUCUUUAAAUCUGUCCCCCCCAGCUAUACUAUAACGUUGUUUAAGAAGUGACCAGUUGGGGUUGGUUUUUGGGUAGGUUGGGAGCAGGCCUGGACUUCUUUUAGAGACAGGAUGGCUUGGGAAAACACACACUCCCAUGGUUACACCUAGAUGUUAAUUAAUCCAGGUCUCCUGACCUCUGAUCUCCUGACAACAUGUAUGGGAAAACUGGUUGGCAGGAGAACUGCUGGAGGGAUGUAAGCUUUUGUUUUAGCUGGGUGUUGUAAAAUGCAACUGAAAGCUUUGAUCCUUAUCACACUGUUAUCAAGCAGAUGACCCCAAAUUGCUGUAUUAUUACAGACUGAUUUAUUGCCUAAUUUACAACCUGCAGCAUUUAAUUUCUACAUACUACAGGCAGCGCUUUCCAUAUGUUGCCCAUCAAUUUGCAUAAGUGAUACAUGUCCUGGGUAUUGCAUCCCUAUAUAGCAAGAGCAAGAGCUAAAUGAAAUUGAUUCACAAUUUGUAAGAAUACAAUGGACUUCUAAAUGUAUAACUAAUGGUAAGAAAGAUUAUUGAAUUGUGUAUUGGGACCAUGCGAUCCCAUAUAUAGGGAAUAAACCAUAGAGAUAUAGUCCUAUUAAUUAACGAAAUAAAUAUGCCAUUUUGGGGCUAAAUUCAAAAUGGAAGUGCAAUACAGAGUUUAGCCACUAGAUGCUGCCAAAUGAUUUAAUUUUAUAAUUUUUUUUAAAGCAAAAAGUUUUAAAUAAAUCAGGUGUAGUCAACCUUCAGCACUCCAGAUGUUUUGGACUACACCUCCCAUGAUGCUGGCAACAUCUGGUGUGCCGAAAGUUGCCUACCCCUGAAAUAGAAUAUAUAAAUAUACAUAAUAUAUGUUGAAGCAGCUGGCCUUGCAUUGAGAUUUUUAGUUAGGAUCUGAGGGGACAUAUUUUUAAGCUUAUUAACACAAAAGUAAGGCAGGCACCGAUUCAAAUAUCAGGUGCCUACCUAUCUUUCAUGUACAGGGGGGAGCCAGAAGACAAGGUGGCAGGCACAAUCUAGUGGCGCAGUGCCUGCCUUGACAGGAUCAGGGAGGGAGCCAGGGAAUGAUUCUGCUGCGCUUCGGCGGCAGGCCAGCCUUGCUGCACUCAGGGUCUGGGAGCACUCUUUUAAUCUUAUUAAGGCAGGCACCCGAUAGUUAAAACUGUGCCUGCCUUAAGAUCUACCCGAGUCAGACGCAGUGUCAUGCAAUCCCAGCACCCGAGCAAGCACCAAAGCUUGUUGCAGGCAGGGGAUGCUGGAACACAAACUGUUAUCUUGGCUGCCCCAUGCCUGUUAACCAUCAGUUACACGGUUUUGCAUCAUUUUUGACGCAGACCUAUCAUAAAUAACCUCAGGUUAUUUAAAGCCAUACUAAACUCUCAUCUUUGCCCUGUCAUGGUCGCAGUUACUCAGGAGUGCCUUUUGACUUGUGCUGUGCAUGAUCUGGUUCUGACAUGGCUAUGUUUCUGAUUUCUCUGACUUCUGGAAUUCCUGACCUUGGUUAUGAUUAUCGUUUACCCACUAUUCUAUUCUCCUUGAACUCUGUCUUUUUCUGAUUAGUCUUGUCUGUUUCCUGCAGACUGUAUUCUAUACUUAUAUAUAACGUUUUUGUCUUUUUAUUAUUAAAAUGCAAUUGCUCCUUUUUCAACCCCUACAAAACAGACUUUAUACCACCUAACCAGUGGCAGAACUAUCAUGGUUGCAGGGGGAAUUUCCAGGGGGCCCAGUCAGCGCUGCAGCGCUUUACCAGCGCCACCGGGCCCCCUGUAAUGAAUUACACAGAGGAGGAAGGAGAGAAGGGAGUCAUAAUGGGAACUCUGCCUCCAAUCAGGCUGUGCCACUAGACCCCAGGGAAAGUCACCCUCCUGCCCCUAAAAGGUAGAAAACAGGAGGGUGAAUAAAACAUUUUGUAAAUGUGUGUGUUUGUUUGUAUCUAUGUGUGUCUGUAUGCAUGUAUGUAUGUGUGUGUAUGUCUGUGGGUGUCUGUAUGUAUGUAUGUGUGUCUGUCUGUGUAAGUGUCUAUGUGUGUGCCUGCAUUUUUUAUCUAUUUGUCUGCAUGUGUGGGGCGGCAACGUAUGGGAGGGGGAGGUUAGACGUAUGGUGGGGUGGCAGGGUAUAGACUAUGGGGGGGUCCCAAGGCAAUUUUUGCACCGUGGCCCUUUGGUUUCUAGUUACACCUCUGCACCAAACACACUCACACACCACACUUCUCACACUCUGCACCCCUCACACACACACACACACUCUGCACCUCUUACACACACAUUCUACACCCCUCACACACACCCUGUGCUUCUCACAUAUGCACACACACUAAACCCCUCACACACACAUUGCAUCCCUCGCUCUCACUCUGCACCCCUUACACACACAUUCUGCAUCCCUCACACACACAUUGCUCUCCUCACACACAUUGCACCUCUCACACACACACACACUGCACCCCUAACACACACAAUCUGCACUCCUCACACACACACACACAUUGGAUGUUUAUAGGGAAUUUAAAUCUAUUGAGAAUUAAAAUAUAUGAAAACACCUCAAAAUGAGACAUAGUUCUAACAAAUUAAUGUGUUGAAAUUCCAAAAGGUAAUAGGGGAUGUGGAAAAUGGGGUCUCUGUUAAAAAAAACCCAAAACAGUAUCCCCCCUCCCGAGCUGUGCGAGUGGGGACUAUUAGACUGAAGACCAAGCGCCCCCUCUCCCUGGGGGUCCCCCCCUCAUUGUUAUUUAGGGCCCCAACCCACCACUCAGUGGUGGGGGCUGGGGGGGAGGACAAUAGGUUCCCCCCCAUUCUCAUUUAGGGCCCCCACCUGCCGCUCAGGAAUGGGGGCCAGGAGGGGGGGAGGACAAUGGGUCCCCCCCUACAUUAUUUAGGGCCCCCACCUACCGCUCAGGGGUGGGGGGCUGGGGGGAAGACGCUAGGUCCGACCUUCAGUUUAAUAGCCCCCACUCACGCGGCACAGGUGGAGGCUCGGGAGGGGGGAUACUGGGUUGUUGUUUUUUUUAACAGUGAGCAGCCACAGGCUGUUCACUGUUUAAUAGACAUGCCCAUACUUGUGGUAUAGCGAGUAGGGGCAGAAUUUACUAAUACUAAGUAACCUUUACUUCGUAUUAGUACAUUUGGCAGAAAGACCAAUUUAGGUCUUUCAGCCUUAUGGUAGAUAGCUUUCCUAAUACCGUGGGAACUAGGGAGUUAUCUACUAAGCGGCUGCAAGAUGCAGCCGCGUCACGAAUCAGAUCGGAGUUUCAUUCAUUCGAAUGAAAUUCCGAUCCGAACAAAGUCCCGAAUUGCGUCCUAACACAAAUGGAUAAACUGUUCUCAUUCUGUUAGGACGCAAUUCGGUAGUUUUGUCUAAAUGACAGGACGUUCGGGAAAAGUGAAAGAAGGCUUCGCGGGAACACUGAGGAAAGGUGAGAAUUAUGGGAAAAUUGCUCUGACCAUGGGAAAUGAAGCACACUUUGCUCCUCCGCUGGUCAGAGAUGGUCAGGUGUAGGAAACCUCCAUAAGACAAAUACGCCCUACUUUGUCUUGUGUUUUAAAGAAAACUAGAGCAGACAAGAAGUAAUGAAGAACAGAUCCUGAGAGAGGGAGAGAAGAAUCGAUUAAAGAAAGGUAAGUUCGGCAUGACAGUGUCGCUUUAAUAGCUCCCGACUGAUUCCUCUCUUGGAACGGUCACUAGUCUAAUACUAUCCUUACCUUUUGUGUCACUUUACCCCACUCCCCCUAGAAUGUAAGCUCAUUGAGCAGGGCCCUCCACCCCUCUGUUCCUGUGUGUUCAACCUGUCUGGUUACAACUACGUUUGUUCAUCCACCCAUUGUAAAGCGCUGCGGAAUUUGUUGGCGCUAUAUAAAUAACAUAAUAAUAAUAAUAAUAACCCAGUAAGCAAUAGUCUACAGCUGUUAACUAGAGUACAGCUAUAAGAUUGUGUAAGAGUUGUUUUCAGUUGGUGGGGCUUUUUAAAUGGAGGUCAUUUUUGUUUGUUUCUCUCUGAAGGAAUUCAAAACAACUCAUUUGGUUUGGUACAUCCUUACAUUUGUCCAUUAUUGCAGUUGCUACAUAAUGUUGCAACUGGCACAUACAAAUUCAACUGUGCCCCUUGGCAUAAUCAUCCCAAAAUCAAAUUUUUAUUGUGUGAUUAACAGAUGGGGUUAUAAAGACACUUGGUGAUAUGGAUGUUAAAGUAGCCUUUUUUAAUAUUACAGGGUAAUAAAUCAGAUGUAACUAAGUUAAAUAAAAGAAAACGGAAUCGAGCUGCAGCAAUUAAGAGUCGAAAAAAACACACAGAGAGGGC